rnacentral:rRNA from 1 species
AUUGAACGCUGGCGGCAUGCCUUACACAUGCAAGUCGAACGGCAGCACGGGUGCUUGCACCUGGUGGCGAGUGGCGAACGGGUGAGUAAUAAAUCGGAACAUGUCCUGUAGUGGGGGAUAGCCCGGCGAAAGCCGGAUUAAUACCGCAUACGAUCUACGGAUGAAAGCGGGGGACCUUCGGGCCUCGCGGUCUAGGGUGGGCGGAUGGGUGUUUAGCUAGGUGGUGGGGUACAGGCGUACCAAGGCGACGAUCAGUAGCUGGUCUGAGAGGACGACCAGCCACACUGGGACUGAGACACGGCCCAGACUCCUACGGGAGGCAGCAGUGGGGAAUUUUGGACAAUGGGCGAAAGCCUGAUCCAGCAAUGCCGCGUGUGUGAAGAAGGCCUUCGGGUUGUAAAGCACUUUUGUCCGGAAAGAAAUCCUUGGCCCUAAUACGGUCGGGGGAUGACGGUACCGGAAGAAUAAGCACCGGCUAACUACGUG